rnacentral:rRNA from 1 species
AACGUAGGUCACAAGCGUUGUCCGGAAUUACUGGGUGUAAAGGGAGCGCAGGCGGGAAGACAAGUUGGAAGUGAAAUCUAUGGGCUCAACCCAUAAACUGCUUUCAAAACUGUUUUUCUUGAGUAGUGCAGAGGUAGGCGGAAUUCCCGGUGUAGCGGUGGAAUGCGUAGAUAUCGGGAGGAACACCAGUGGCGGAGGCGGCCUACUGGGCACCAACUGACGCUGAGGCUCGAAAGUGUGGGUAGCAAACAGG